AGCUUUGCACAGUGGCAGUAUUGUAGCCAAUGAGGUUUAUCUGAGGCACGAUUUAUGGCAAAUUAAAACAUUUCCCAGUACCCCACCAUGACGAUUUGAAAUAUAGUUGGCAAAAUUUAAAAUAUAAUAAAAU
rnacentral:snRNA from 1 species